CCUUCCUCUGUCUUCGGCCAGGCUGGGCCGACGCAGGGACACGUCAUGGCUUCUGGUAACUGGCGCUGGGCGGGUCUACGAGGGAAAAGCGGGGGG